AUGCCAUGAUGAGGCCAUUUUCGUAAUAACUCAUUGAACUGCUCCCAUACCUCAUAUAAAGUUUCUUCGUCAAGUUGCUGAAAUGAAGUGAUUUCGUUUCAGAUCUU
rfam:Gossypium raimondii Chr10_contig_877, whole genome shotgun sequence.